UGACCUCGGAUCAGGUAGGACUACCCGCUGAACUUAAGCAUAUCAAUAAGCGGAGGAAAAGAAACCAACAGGGAUUGCCUCAGUAACGGCGAGUGAAGCGGCAACAGCUCAAAUUUGAAAUCUGGCUCCCCUUGGGGGUCCGAGUUGUAAUUUGGAGAGGAUGUUUCUGGCGCGGCGCCUUCCGGAGUUCCUUGGAACAGGACGCCACAGAGGGUGAGAGCCCCGUACGGUCGGCCGCCUAGCCUCCACGAAACUCCUUCGACGAGUCGAGUAGUUUGGGAAUGCUGCUCAAAAUGGGAGGUAAAUUUCUUCUAAAGCUAAAUACUGGCCAGAGACCGAUAGCGCACAAGUAGAGUGAUCGAAAGAUGAAAAGCACCUUGAAAAGAGGGUUAAACAGUACGUGAAAUUGUUGAAAGGGAAGCGCCUGCGACCAGACUCGCGCCCCGCGGACCAGCCGGCGUUCUCGCCGGUGCACUCCGCGGGGUGCGGGCCAGCAUCGGUUUUCCCUGGGGGAGAAAGGCUGCGGGAACGUAGCUCCUUCGGGAGUGU
rnacentral:rRNA from 1 species